rnacentral:rRNA from 1 species
AACGAACGCUGGCGGCAUGCCUAACACAUGCAAGUCGAACGAUGCCUUCGGGCAUAGUGGCGCACGGGUGCGUAACGCGUGGGAAUCUGCCCUUGGCUUCGGAAUAACAGUUAGAAAUGACUGCUAAUACCGGAUGAUGUCCCCCUGAGAGAUCUUGGGGACCAAAGAUUUAUCGGCCAGGGAUGAGCCCGCGUAGGAUUAGGUAGUUGGUGGGGUAAAGGCCUACCAAGCCGACGAUCCUUAGCUGGUCUGAGAGGAUGAUCAGCCACACUGGGACUGAGACACGGCCCAGACUCCUACGGGAGGCAGCAUUGGGGAAUAUUGGACAAUGGGGGGAACCCUGAUCCAGCAAUGCCGCGUGAGUGAUGAAGGCCUUAGGGUUGUAAAGCUCUUUUACCAGGGAUGAUAAUGACAGUACCUGGAGAAUAAGCUCCGGCUAACUCCGUG